CCUUCUCUGUUGGAGGCAGCUGCUUUUCUUCAGAAUCUUGCACUGGGCAUCCGUUGCCUCCUUUCAAUGCUCUGUGCCAUAUUUUACUUCUUGACCUAGAAUUCUUAAGAAGAGAAACUUUUCUCAGGAAUUUAUCAGCUUUUCUCUCUCUCGUUCUCUCUGUCUCCUCCUACUCGCUCUGGCUGUUAUUUUCUAUGGCUUUUCCCUCUUCUUUCCUGUUUUUCUUCUUUAUUCUUAUUACUAUUUCUAUGGCCUCCACAUUUACUUCCUUUUGCCUUCUUUCUUUCCGUUACACUAUUAAUUCUUUCUACAUCUUGAAGUUUCUUUCUCCUACUGCUCCCAAAAAGGAGACAUUCAAAGAGGACAUAUGUGUCCUCUGAAUGAAGUAUUUUUCUAGACAGCGAUGAAAAACUUGGCUUUGAGGAUGGUCAAAGGCAGAUUGCUGGUGACCAAAUAUAUUCCUUUCUUCAUCAGAAAACUGGUAAUAUUCUUGAUCCUUCACCAGAGUACUCCAGCGUGACUGUUGCAGGGUGAAAGUCACCCUGCUAAUCU
rnacentral:lncRNA from 1 species